UAGGGAAUAUUGCACAAUGGAGGAAACUCUGAUGCAGCGACGCCGCGUGAGCGAUGAAGGCCUUCGGGUUGUAAAGCUCUGUCGCAUGGGAAUAAGACAGUGAAUGUACCAUGCAAGAAAGGAUCGGCUAACUUCGUGCCAGCAGCCGCGGUAAGACGAGGGAUCCUAGCGUUGUUCGGAAUCAUUGGGCGUAAAGCGGGUGCAUGUGGCUUUGUAAGUCAGGUGUGAAAUCCCAGGGCUCAACCCUGGAAGUGCAUUUGAUACUGCGAAGCUUGAGUGCUGGAGAGGUAAGUAGAAUUCCUGGUGUAGUGGUGAAAUACGUAGAUAUCAGGAGGAAUACCGGAGGCGAAGGCGGCUUACUGGCCAGACACUGACACUCAGACCCGAAAGCGUGGGGAUCAAACAGG
rnacentral:rRNA from 1 species